CACAUCUCCGAGGAUUAGCGCACGCAAAGAGUGAACUGAGGUGUUUCUGUGCCCGCAACGUGUUUUGACCACUAUCAAUAAAACGAAGUGUGUGCAAA
rnacentral:lncRNA from 1 species